rnacentral:rRNA from 1 species
CCUGGUUGAUCCUGCCAGUAAUCAUAUGCUUGUCUUAAAGAUUAAGCCAUGCAUGUCUAAGUAUAAGCAUUUAUACUGUGAAACUGCGAAUGGCUCAUUAAAUCAGAAAUAGUUUAUUUGAUAAUACAUGCUACUCGGAUAACUGUAGUAAUUCUAGAGCUAAUACGUGCUAAAUGUCUUGUUCCGAAAGGGAUUGAGAUGUAUUUAUUAGAUAAAAAACUAAAACGUGGGGCAACUCACGAUGACUGUUGAAUCAUGAUAACUUUGCGAAUCGCAUUACUUUAAUGUUGGCGAUGAAUCAUUCAAAUUUCUGCCCUAUCAACUUUCGAUGGUAGUGUAGUGGACUACCAUGGUCGUAACGGGUGACGGAGAAUUAGGGUUCGGUUCCGGAGAGGGAGCCUGAGAGACGGCUACCACUUCCAAGGAAGGCAGCAGGCGCGCAAAUUACCCAAUGGCGAUACGCCGAGGUAGUGACAAUAAAUAACAAUACAGGACCUGAUAAAGGUCUUGUAAUUGGAAUGAGUACAAUUUAAACCUCUUAACGAGGAACAAUUGGAGGGCAAGUCUGGUGCCAGCAGCCGCGGCAAUUCCAGCUCCAAUAGCGUAUAUUAAAGUUGUUGCAGUUAAAAAGCUCGUAGUCGAAUAUAGAGGCGGUAAAAAAUGAAUAAUUGAAGCCCGGUCUGCCGGGAUGGUGUGCACUGGCUUCACCGCCUUUCCUUCCGGUUUAAAGCUACCAUUUGCUCUUAACUGAGUGAGUGGCCGGCUCCGGAUCGUUUACUUUGAAAAAAUUAGAGUGUUUAAAGCAGGCCUAUUUUAGUGCCUUUGAAUAUUACAGCAUGGGAUAAUACAAUAGGAUUCGUCACCUAUUUUGUUGGUUUCUAGAUUGUGAGGAAUAAUGAUGAAUAGAAUCAGUUGGGGGUAUACAUAUUUAAUUGUCAGAGGUGAAAUUCUUGGAUUUAUGAAAGAUGAACUUCUGCGAAAGCAUUUAUCAAGGAUGUUUUCAUUGAUCAAGAACGAAAGUUAGGGGAUCGAAGACGAUCAGAUACCGUCGUAGUCUUAACUAUAAACGAUGCCGACCAGGGAUCGGGAGACGUUACAUGGAUGACCCCCCCAGCACCUUGCGAGAAAUCACAAGUCUUUGGGUUCCGGGGGGAGUAUGGUCGCAAGGCUGAAACUUAAAGGAAUUGACGGAAGGGCACCACCAGGAGUGGAGCCUGCGGCUUAAUUUGACCCAACACGGGGAAACUCACCAGGUCCAGACAUAGUAAGGAUUGACAGAUUGAGAGCUCUUUCUUGAUUCUAUGGGUGGUGGUGCAUGGCCGUUCUUAGUUGGUGGAGUGAUUUGUCUGGUUAAUUCCGUUAACGAACGAGACCUCAGCCUGCUAAAUAGUUGUGCGAAUCUUCUUU